CACCUGAUCCCAUCCCGAACUCAGAAGUGAAACGCAAUCGCGCCGAUGGUAGUGUGGGGUCUCCCCAUGUGAGAGUAGGUCAUCGCCAAGC
rnacentral:rRNA from 2 species